rnacentral:snoRNA from 1 species
CCCCUCUAAAUUCUUUACCCAUCAAAACUAAACACUGGUCUGAGUGGUUAUAAAAGCAGGAAAAGUCAAAUUAAAGCUAACUUAGGAUUCCUGCAACUGUAAAUCAUGGGAGCAGGAAGCCUCGU